CAAAGGUUUGGUCCUAGCCUUACUAUCAGCUUUAGCUCAAAUUACACAUGCAAGUCUCCGCAGUCCCGUGAGGAUGCCCCCAACUUCCCACCCGGAAAUAGGGAGCCGGCAUCAGGCACAAUUAUGUAGCCCAAAACGCCUUGCUCAGCCACACCCCCAAGGGAAUUCAGCAGUGAUAAACAUUAAGCCAUAAGCGAAAGCUUGACUUAGUCCGAGCUAAGAGGGCCGGUAAAACUCGUGCCAGCCACCGCGGUUAUACGAGAGACCCUAGUUGAUUGAAGCGGCGUAAAGAGUGGUUAUGGAAUUUUCUACCCUAAAGCAGAAAACCUCUCAAACUGUUAUACGCACCCAGAGGUUGAAACCCCUUACACGAAAGUGACUUUAUUUUCGCCUACCAGAAGCCACGAAAGCUGGGACACAAACUGGGAUUAGAUACCCCACUAUGCCUAGCCGUAAACUUUAAUGCUAAUGUACAACUAGCAUCCGCCAGGGAACUACGAGCACCAGCUUAAAACCCAAAGGACUUGGCGGUGCCUCAGACCCCCCUAGAGGAGCCUGUUCUAGAACCGAUAACCCCCGUUCAACCUCACCACUCCUUGCCCUUUCCGCCUAUAUACCACCGUCGCCAGCUUACCCUGUGAAGGAAAAGUAAGCGAAAUGGAGACUCUCCAAAACGUCAGGUCGAGGUGUAGCACACGGAGUGGGAAGAAAUGGGCUACAUUGCCUGACUUAGGCUACCAACGGAAAGUCGCCUGAAAAGACUAUUUGAAGGUGGAUUUAGCAGUAAGAGGGGAAUAGAGUGCCCCUUUGAAGCCGGCUCUGAGGCGCGCACACACCGCCCGUCACUCUCCCCAACAACCCUAAUUCACGAGUAAUUUAACCCUACACAUGUAAAAAGGGGAGGCAAGUCGUAACAUGGUAAGUGUACCGGAAGGUGCACUUGGAAUAACU
rnacentral:ncRNA from 1 species